ACCUAGGCGACGAUCCCUAGCUGGUCUGAGAGGAUGACCAGCCACACUGGAACUGAGACACGGUCCAGACUCCUACGGGAGGCAGCAUGGGGAAUAUUGCACAAUGGGCGCAAGCCUGAUGCAGCCAUGCCGCGUGUAUGAAGAAGGCCUUCGGGUUGUAAAGUACUUUCAGCGAGGAGGAAGGUGUUGUGGUUAAUAACCGCAGCAAUUGACGUUACUCGCAGAAGAAGCACCGGCUAACUCCGUGCCAGCAGCCGCGGUAAUACGGAGGGUGCAAGCGUUAAUCGGAAUUACUGGGCGUAAAGCGCACGCAGGCGGUCUGUCAAGUCGGAUGUGAAAUCCCCGGGCUCAACCUGGGAACUGCAUCCGAAACUGGCAGGCUAGAGUCUUGUAGAGGGGGGUAGAAUUCCAGGUGUAGCGGUGAAAUGCGUAGAGAUCUGGAG
rnacentral:rRNA from 1 species